ensembl:lncRNA
GACUAACGGACCAAAAACACAGGGAUUCAGGGACGCACUGAUGCUGUUUUCUUAUGCAUCAUUGCCCAACACACAUUACUCACAAUUAAACCUCGACAGAGUUAAAGGAAUAGUUUACCCAAAAAUAAACAUUUGCUGAAAAUGCCCAUGACCCCAGGGCAUCCAAGAUGCAGAUGAGUUUGUUUCUUCAUCAUUUGGAGAAAUGUAGCAUUGCAUAACUUGCUCACUUCCUCUGCAGUGAAUGGGUGCCGUCAGAAUGAGAGUCCAAACCUUCCUCUGCAAUGAAUGGAUGCCGUCAGAAUGAGAGUCCAAACAACUGAUAAAAAUCAAAAAAGUAACACUUCUUUCAGUGAAAAGGUUGUAUCAUCUGAAUCAGGAGGGAAAUCUGCACAGAUCAAGCACCAUUCACAACCUAAAACAGCUCUAAAUAAAUAUGUGUGUACUUUUUAAUGUGAGAGACAAGAGGAGAUGGUCUUUUUCACUGGAGGAAGCCUUAUUAUGGAUCAUGGAAUCAUAUUUUAGCCAGAAACAAUGGUUUGAAGUAUGUUUUUUUUUUUUUUUUGUCUUCUCCAGAUGUUAACUGAUGAACUGGAGGGGUGUGGAUUACUUGUGGAUUAUUGUGAUGUUUUUAUCAGCUGUUUGGACUCUCAUUCUGACGGCACCCAUUCACUGCAGAGCAUCCAUUGAUGAGACACUGAUGCAAUGCUACAUUUCUCCAAAUCUGAUGAAGAAACAGACUCAUCUACAUCAUUGGUGGCCUGAAGGCUUCCCCAAAAAUGAGUAA